GACGAACCGUGCGAACGUUGUUCGGAAUCACUGGGCUUAAAGGGCGCGUAGGCGGGUCAUCAAGUCCGGGGUGAAAUCUUUCGGCUUAACCGGAAAAUAGCCUUGGAUACUGGUGGUCUUGAGGGAGGCAGGGGCAGCGGGAACUUCCGGUGGAGCGGUGAAAUGCGUUGAUAUCGGAAGGAACGCCGGUGGCGAAAGCGCGCUGCUGGACCUUUUCUGACGCUGAGGCGCGAAAGCCAGGGGAGCAAACGGG
rnacentral:rRNA from 1 species